rnacentral:rRNA from 1 species
UACGUAGGGGGCUAGCGUUGUCCGGAAUCAUUGGGCGUAAAGAGCGCGUAGGCGGCCAGAUAAGUCCGGUGUGAAAGUCAAAGGCUCAACCUUUGAAUGCCGCUGGAAACUGUCUGGCUAGAGUCCGGGAGGGGCGAGUGGAAUUCCUGGUGUAGCAGUGAAAUGCGUAGAUAUCAGGAGGAAUACCGAUGGCGAAGGCAGGUCUCUGGGCUAUAACUGACGCUCAUGCACGAAAGCGUGGGGAGCAAACAGG